rnacentral:snRNA from 1 species
GAGACCAGCAUGGCCCCUGUGUAAGGAUGAUACGCAAAUUCGUGAAGAGUUCCGUAUUUUU